rnacentral:rRNA from 1 species
AUUGAACGCUGGCGGCAUGCCUUACACAUGCAAGUCGAACGGCAGCACGGGAGCAAUCCUGGUGGCGAGUGGCGAACGGGUGAGUAAUAUAUCGGAACGUGCCCGGUCGUGGGGGAUAACGUAGCGAAAGCUACGCUAAUACCGCAUACGAUCUACGGAUGAAAGCGGGGGAUCGCAAGACCUCGCGCGAUUGGAGCGGCCGAUAUCAGAUUAGGUAGUUGGUGAGGUAAAGGGCUCACCAAGCCGACGAUCUGUAGCUGGUCUGAGAGGACGACCAGCCACACUGGGACUGAGACACGGCCCAGACUCCUACGGGAGGCAGCAGUGGGGAAUUUUGGACAAUGGGCGCAAGCCUGGUCCAGCAAUGCCGCGUGCGAGGA